rnacentral:misc_RNA from 1 species
AAUGUGAGUUUGCAGGAGAGUAGGUUAUUGCCAGGGUUUUUAAUUUUAUACUUUAAACUUUGAUUUUAUUUUUAUGUUUUUUAAMUANYYGGWGUUUUUGANUGUGUYGWUUAAAUAACAUAAAAAAUAAAAUAUAUAUAUUGACAUGCAUUAAACAAAGAUAUAUAUUAUUUUAUGUUGUAUAAAUAAAUUGGCAAAAUAGAGAUGGAAGAUAAAAAUAUGGUCAAAGUAAUAAGAGUCUAUGGUGAAUGCCUAGGAGCUUUAAGGCGAAGAAGGUCGUGGUAAGCUGCGAAAAGCUUGGGGGAGAAGCAAACAUUUAUUGAUCCCAAGANUACCGAANGGAGUAAUCCAGCUAGCAAGAUGCUAGCUAUCUAUUAUUUAAAUAAUAGAGGCGAUACCAGGGGAAGUGAACCAUCUAGAUACCCCUGAA